AGAAAAAAAAGGAAAAGAAAAAGAAAAAAGAAUAAAAAGAAAAAGGAGAAAAAACCACCAAAGCAAUGCCCAAGCAAGUUCUGCUUGCUUUUCCUUUCAUUUACCACAGCACAUCAAUUUUCCUCCAAACUGUAGCAUCUUUUCCCAAUCCUGUGGGUCUUCAAAACUUUCAGGCUUUCAAAUCAUCUGUACAUUGUUCAGUCAUGCGUGUGGGUGGCCUGGAUAAGUUUAGGAUGUGUUUUUCUCCGACUGCAGUUAGAAUUGUACACUAAACUCUUGGCUGUUUCUGGGUACUUUAACAAGUUGAUGAGCUUGCAGCCGGGUGCCCGGGGCUGGGAUCCAACGUGGGCGGUUGACGCCGGUGCUGUGUUCCUUUACCACAGGAGCAGGGCCACCCCUGGCUUGCACAGUUCUAAGGACAGUGAGGACUCCAGCUCCCCACCAUGUCCAGUGGCUGAGCACAGCUGCAGAGAGACAGGAUAAAACCCUCUUUGUGACCUCUGGGGGUGUGGGAAAAGUAAAGGAAAUUUUCCUCUGGGAUGAAGAAGAAAGUAACAAAGUCUCUUUGGUCACCAUCUAUUUCAGUGCCACCAGCACAGAGCUGUCACUAUUGUGGUGGGCAUUUUCAUGGAGACUCCCAGGCCUCCUUCCAUUGUUAUUUCAGUCUAUUUUAGAUGGAUUCUGCAUCUGCAUUUUUUUCAAGAGGAGAAAAAAAAAAAAAAAAAACAACUUGAUGAUUUUUGUUUCAUGGAAGCUGUGCUAAAGGGACCAACAAGCACUGCAAAGAUUCCUUUCAUGUAAUAAUCCUUGGAAAUAGUAUGGAUAGAACAAACUCCCCCUUCCAAAUAGCCUGUCAGGCUGGUGUGAAUUCUCAGAGAAGCAAAACGUGCUUUUGCUGAUGUAGUUCCCACUAACUAGGUCAGUCAAUGAAAUCAGCUGCCAAGGCAAGAUCUGCUGAAUGCUGGAAAAGCUGUGGCUGCAUCGGGGUUUGGGUUUUUGGUUGGUAAAGGAAAGUCAUCUCUGGGUCUCUCCAGGGCAGUUUCUGCAGAGUGGAGCUUAAACAAUGGGAUCUGAGAGAGCAGUUACAGAUGGGAAAGAAGCAGCUGGAGCCUUAUGUUUCCUUUUUCCCCAGCCUCAACUCCUGAUAGCCAUACGAGGGACACCAAAGCUGCGGCAGCCCAACCGAUUCUCGUCUUCCCUGCGUAACUUCCUGAGGCACUGCCUGCGGACAGACGCGGCACGGCGCUGGUCUGCCAAGGAGCUCCUGCAGCAUCCAUUUGUAACAUCAGCCAAGCCAGCGUCCACCCUGGUACCACUCAUCAACUCAGUGAAGAAGGAGAAGAAGAAGAAGACAAGAAUCUAACAGUCAAGAUAUUUUUGCCAUAACCAAGUUAGAGUAGGAUUGUAGAGUAGGACUCUAGAGUAGGAUUAUUGAGUUGUUUUGUAGUAUAGGUUUAUAGAGUAGGAUUGGAAUUAAAUAAAGUUUCUGAAGCAUCAA